rnacentral:misc_RNA from 1 species
CGCCAGUCUUCCUGAAGAAAGGGACCCCACUACUUCAGUCAGUCAGCACAUGUUCAUCCGACAGGUGUUCCUCUAGAAGAGCAGAAGGUGAUAGAACUUUUCAAAGAUAUAAGAACUAGGGGAAGAUACGACCAUUAGUGUAUAAGUGCCGGGACAAAUAUGAAAUUUUUCCUACCCCUCCUCGCAGGGAUACUAUCGUCCGCAUUUGCAGACACCAAAUGUGGAUAUCCCGGAGCUCCCGCGCAUUCCACCGUCGAAUUUUCCAAGAAGGAUCUCUCAGUCAGCACUAUCGCGACGUACAGAUGCGAAGCUGGCUUCGAGCUGCUCGGCCCUCCAAGAAGGAUCUGUACCGCACAAGGGACCUGGAAACCCGAAGGCAUCCCUUUUUGUGUAAUCAAUGUAGCUGCCGGAAAAGCACCAAUGCAGAUUAGUUCUGAGGAUACUGGUGUACCUCAAAAGGCCAUAGAUGGAAGUACGACUUCAUUUUUCAACGCUGACACUUGCACUUUAACGCGGCCUGAGAGAGUACCAUGGUGGUAUGUCAAUCUGCUUGAACCUUACAUGGUUCAGCUUGUAAGGCUGGACUUUGGAAAGCCCUGUUGUGGUAAAAACAAACCGGCCACCAUCGUUGUGAGGGUGGGCAACAACAGGCCAGAUUUAGCGACGAAUCCGAUUUGCAAUCGUUUCACCGGCUACUUGGAGGAAGGAAAACCGUUGUUCUUACCCUGCAAUCCACCCAUGCCAGGCGCUUUCGUCAGCGUGCAUUUGGAAUCUUCGUCGAACACAAACCAGCUUUCCAUAUGCGAGGCAUUUGUCUAUACGGAUCAAGCACUUCCGAUAGAAAGGUGUCCACAAUUUAGGGACCAACCGCCUGGUAGCACCGCAACUUACAAUGGGAAGUGCUAUAUAUUUUACAACAGACAGCCUCUACCACUGAGAGACGCUUUAAACUUCUGCAGGAGCAGGGGUGGAUCUCUUGUCGAAGAGAGCAAUCCUGCACUACAAGGGUUCAUAAGUUGGGAACUUUGGAGAAGGCACAGGAGUGACUCGAGUAGCCAGUAUUGGAUGGGAGCUGUGAGAGAUCAUAAAGACCGAAACAACUGGAAAUGGAUCAACGGUGAAGAUGUUACUGUUUCAUUUUGGAACCUUCCUGGUGGUGAGGAGGACUGCGCUAGGUAUGACGGAUCCAAAGGAUGGUUGUGGUCAGACACCAACUGUCAUGCCAAAAUUAAUUACAUCUGCCAACACCAGCCUAAAGCUUGUGGAAAACCGGAGCAGCCGCCUAAUUCUACAAUGACGGCUGAAAAUUUCAAUGUAGGAGCUAAAAUCGAGUACACGUGUGAUGAAGGACAUUUGCUUGUAGGGCCGAAUUCGAGAAUAUGUCUUCCAACAGGAUUUUACAAUGAAUUUCCACCAGUUUGUAAACGAAUCCAAUGCGGUUACCCUGCCGAUAUAACAAAUGGUGAUUAUCAGUUAUUAAAUGGCACUGUUGGGUACUUGAGUCAAGUACUUUACAGUUGCAAUGAGGGCUAUAAAAUGACAGGACGAGCCCAGCUGACGUGCGAUCUGGAUGAAAGGUGGGAUGGACCUCCUCCAAGAUGCCAACCUAUACUAUGUGGGGAACCGCCGAUAGUGGCAAACGGUGACAUGUUCUUAUCCAACAACAUUACAAUAGCCGGAACAGUUGUUGAAUACUCUUGCAUAUCAAAGAAAUAUAAACUAGUCGGUCCGAAACAAAUUACAUGCCUUGAUUCCGGAAAUUACGACAAACCGCCUCCAGUGUGCAGAGAGGAGCCAAGAGGUGGAAUACUGUCGAGCCUACUUCCAAACCGUCCGUCUACUACAAGCAGGUCUCCCCCUAGAGAAAAACCAAGACCUUUUACAACAAGACCUUCACCGAAGCCAAUAACACCCGAUGUCGUGCUUGACGAUAACAAACUUAGUGAAACAAAGCACAUCCCACACAUUGUACUAGCGGGUCGCCCUCAAAACUCAGAUAUCACUGAGACCACCAAAAACGACCUCGGGAGAAAUGGUGCCGACAUUCCUGGGCACACCGCUCAAGAAGAGAGAACAACUCUUGGGGCCAAACUUAAUUUAGGUGCAAUUAUUGCUCUUGGAAUAUUUGGGGGCUUUGUCUUCCUUGCUGCUGUCGUCACAACUGUAGUCAUACUGAUCAAAAGUGGGAGGAGGGCAAAGCUGCCUCCUAGUAGAACAAUGCCAUCUCGUUGGUACACACUCCUCGCGAUGCCAUUCCCAGAUCAGCAAGUUGGAAGGCGCCAGUUUGCAAGGGCCUACCACAGUCGUGCCGGAUAUUUCUCUAACCCAAUUUGACACUCACACACCCCGACCAUGUUAGAUAUUAGGAACUGAAUAGUACAAAUCUAAAAGGAAUCGUAGUGCCAAACAUUAUCGCCACAGAGGCUCACCGGAUAGUAAUACGGUGGCGUCUUUUGACUCAUCGGGUUCUGAGUCGAGAGGAGGACUGAAUCGGUACUACAGGCAGGCUUGGGAGAACUUACAGCAGUCUGCUGUCAAACCGUCUGCGACUACGGCAAAUGGUAAAGAGACUCCGACAGAGCGGGACGGGAGCGAGCUCGUCGUCAGCGAUGUGUAUAGGCCGCAAGACAAAAAGAGGCAUCAUCACCAUCAACACCACCACCA